CUGGAAAUUUGAGAGGUGCUGUUCCUGGUACGGGAGAGCCAGAGUGGACGAACCUCUGGUGUACCGGUUGUGACGCCAGUCGCAUCGCCGGGUAGCUAUGUUCGGAAGGGAUAACCGCUGAAAGCAUCUAAGCGGGAAGCCUACCUCAAGAUAAGAUUUCCCUAGGACUUUAUGUCCUCUAAAGAGCCGUUCGAGACUAGGACGUUGAUAGGUUGGAUGUGGAAGCAUAGUGAUAUGUGAAGCUGACCAAUACUAAUUGCUCGUGAGGCUUGACUAUACAACACCCAAGCAGUUG
rnacentral:rRNA from 1 species